AGGAUUCUGAAAGAGCCCUUCUCAAGGAACUUUCUGCAGGAGUGUGUGGAUGGUGGGGGGAGAGGCACAAAGAAAUGACCAAGCGAGGAGUGAGCCCUCUGAGAGAGCAAAGCUUGCCAGCUGGGAGACAGGAGAAAGCAGCCAGGAACCUCCGAGGGGAGUGGAGAUGGACAAGGAGCCUGGCUGGGGCGGCACUAAGUCUGCUGCAAGCCAGCCAGCCCCUGAGCUGGUGAACUGGAACCAGCCUGGGAGAAAGGACAUGACCGUGGAGACAGGGAAGUCUCUCAGAGGAAAGGCGUGGGUUGUAUCAACUGGAAGGAGAAUAUCAAACUCCAUCUGCCCCAGCUGUGAUAACCGUCUUGCAGCCAAUUGUGGCACAGAACAAGAGUUAGGGACUGAAACCCUAAGGAACAUAUUUGAAAUGCUGCCAAUUUAUCCAGUUUCCUCCUACUCCUGAAUUAAGCUGCAAACUUGUCAAUGAAAAAGCUGGAUAGUAUGGAAGCCCAGUAAAAUGUGAGCUGGAAAAGUAGUGUUACCAUGGUAAGAAGUUGAUGAACCUCCACUAGAGGAUUUGUUUUGCACAGGAUUGCAACUUAUUUAUUUGUUUGUUUGUUUGUUUGUUUUGCUUACUCAGUGUUGCUGCUUUUACUUAGAAACAAACGACUAAUGACAGCUUUUGAGUCAUCUCAUCUAGUCCUCCAAAAAAGUAAUUCUCAAAACCUGAAGAAAGGUAAAGGCAAGAAAGGAAAGGGUUGAGUAGUAGAGAAGAGAGCUUUCUCUUGCAUUGGAAAGACAGUUCUGACUGCUGAGAACAGAUAAAACAUGGCUCCUCCUUUCCAAACUUUAUUUUCUUUGGGGAAAAAAAAAGCUCAUUGUAUUUAUUACUGCAAUCAGAGCUCCAGGAAGUAUCCAAGUGGCUAUUAAUCUAGGCUUUGGGGAAGUCAUGUGGAGCUAUAAAAUAAAAAGUUCUUUUAAAAGUUUGAAGAGCUCCACAGUUAUUAUGAAUGUCUUCACUAUAUCUGUUUUCUGAUGCAGUAAAGGAACUAGAUACAUAGAUAAGCCACAGUUGUUAUAGUAUUGGCAGUUCUUUAGUGAACUGGUACAGAGAAUAAUGCCAAUGAUGAGAAAUGCACUUACUUUGUCCCCAUUCUGGGGAUGCAAGGAAUGUUGCAAUGGUAAUAGUGUUAAGGGGUUUUUUAAGUUGUGAACACCCUCUAUGAGUGCCUCUUGUAAGGGACAAAAUUGACAAACUUGUCAAUAGACAUUGAAAUCAACAUGUGGAUUGUAUUAUGUUUUGUUUCAAUAAAGCCAUCAUAUAAAUAAAGAAGGCUGAGCAUAGGUUUCUGUUUUGGUAGUGCAAUAGCCAAUAAAGGGCUAGAGCAUUACUGCAUUACUGAAUAAACAGUGUAAAUUU
rnacentral:lncRNA from 7 species